UACGUAGGGGCAAGCGUUGUCCGGAUUUAUUGGGCGUAAAGAGCGUGUAGGCGGUCAGGUAGGUCCGUUGUGAAAACUCGAGGCUCAACCUCGAGACGCCGAUGGAAACCAUCUGACUAGAGUCCGGAAGAGGAGAGUGGAAUUCCUGGUGUAGCGGUGAAAUGCGUAGAUAUCGUAAGGAAGGCCAGUGGCGAAGGCGGGUCUCUGGACAGUUACUGACACUGAGGCACGAAGGCCAGGGGAGCAAACGGG
rnacentral:rRNA from 1 species